GACGAACGCUGGCGGCGUGCUUAACACAUGCAAGUCGAACGAUGAACCACUUCGGUGGGGAUUAGUGGCGAACGGGUGAGUAACACGUGGGCAAUCUGCCCUUCACUCUGGGACAAGCCCUGGAAACGGGGUCUAAUACCGGAUAACACUGUCACGGGCAUCUGUGGUGGUUAAAAGCUCCGGCGGUGAAGGAUGAGCCCGCGGCCUAUCAGCUUGUUGGUGAGGUAAUGGCNCACCAAGGCGACGACGGGUAGCCGGCCUGAGAGGGCGACCGGCCACACUGGGACUGAGACACGGCCCAGACUCCUACGGGAGGCAGCAGUGGGGAAUAUUGCACAAUGGGCGAAAGCCUGAUGCAGCGACGCCGCGUGAGGGAUGACGGCCU
rnacentral:rRNA from 1 species